rnacentral:lncRNA from 1 species
UCGGAGAUCUAGUUAAACACAGAGCCGAAUACAAUUAAACAAGAAUAUCCUAACUUCUAAGUAUACCUCCUGCCUACCAUUAUCUGCAGCACAAAGUAGCAGUAUAUUGUAAAUAAAACAGAGGCAAUUAAUGUGACAGUAAAAUUACUCUACAUGUUAUUACCUAAAAAGAGGAGUUGUGCUGUCUAGAAGCUGCAUCCACUUUGCAACAUAGGCUAAGGACCUGUUGAGAUAUACCACGGGAACUUAAAAUAGCAAAAAGUAAAGAAUUAUGCAACUAUGUGUUGCAUAUUAAUAAUUCAGAUCUAGUGCAUAUGAAAACCUCCUUUUUUGGAGUUCGUGAUCUUCAGUUGUUGAUUACCAUAUGCCAUCCCAUCUACAUGGUAACAACAAUGUACAUCCCUAACAUUGAGUUCUUUGUGUUGGCAAUAAAGCUUUCAUGUUUAAUAAAGGUACAAAUAAAAAGUAAAAGCUUAUUUAUUGUGAAAAAAUAUAUCCAAAACUGUAAGGUAGUGCAAAACUUAAUAUAAUCAAACAGUUGUACAUCGUUCUAACUUGACUCUACUAAUUCUAAAACUUUAUCCACCUAACUCGAUUACCCAAAAAAAACAGGAAAAUAGCAUAACUAGAUAGAAUCUAAGGAAAAAAAUGUAAACAUAAAUACUUUCUAGUAAGCUAAAAUAUAAAGAGUGCCUGCACCAUUAUUGCACCCAUCAGUUUCCUAUCUUGUUCUCAUUUUCUCCAAUUUUUGCCUCUAAACCAAAGUUCAUCCUAUUCAAUUUAUGCUAUAGUCCUUAUAUCUCCUUAGUUCUCACUAUAUAUUUAUUCUUAGGAGCCAUGUGGUUUGUUGAUGUAAUUUCUCAUUACAGAUUCAAUUCAAAAUUUAUUCUCUAUUUAGGAUAAUAUCUUCAUGUUCAAAUAAAAACACUGAUAAACAAUAACAACAUUUACCUAGAGGUACUUAUAUUGUUCUUCGAAAUUUAACUUGUGAAUCGAAUCUGAUCUAACUCAUAAAGAAAGGAAUUAUAACUAAUACGAAUAAUUGAAAAUGAUAUCUCUUCUUUCAAAGAUUUAAAGAACCUUGUUAAACAACAUAGCAAUAAUAUAAAUAUAACUGUUCAAAUGACAUUAUCUUGUUGUGGCAUUUUAUCAAACACCAAAUAGGGCUUUUAAAUUCAUCCUCUAGAAUAAAACACCUCAAGCAUAUAAUAUUAAAAGAUGAAUCAGAACCGGACCAUACGCAAUAUAGAGAAAACAAAUGAACCAAAACUAAACCCAAUCUCCUACGAUUACAAAACGAGUACAAAGAAGCGUCAAACUAAAGAAAAUCAAACUAACACAUAUUAUUGUAAAGUUGAAAAAAGAAAAGAAAAAAAGAGACUUUACUUACUCCAAUUCUAUGAUUGACAUAGGGAGAGAUGCAUGAUGAAGAAAGAGAUGGCAACAAGAAGCAUGAGAAAAUUAGAUACCUUUUCACCCAUAAGAGAAAUUAAAAAUAUGUAAAUAAGAGACAAAAAUCGAUCAAUGUACACAAAAUUUUAUCCUAAAUUGAUAUUCAGUCAACCAUUACCUUCACAUCGGAGUUUCUGUAAAUAACUCAAUAUUUAAAAUCAUGAAAGUUUGAAAGGGUAAUCAAAAAACAAAAGGGAUAUGAAUAGUAAAACAGAAAGAAAUUCUACGGCGGGAUUAGCAAGAGAGGGAAAUGAAAAUAAAUAGGGUUAACUUUUGGAGGGAAGGUAAAAUAAAAAUUUGCUCUUUUACUGGCCAUUUUUGUUAACUACCGAUAAAGAUGGACCUUUUCC